rnacentral:rRNA from 1 species
AUUGAACGCUGGCGGCAGGCUUAACACAUGCAAGUCGAGCGGAGCGAGGGUGCUUGCACCUUAGCUUAGCGGCGGACGGGUGAGUAAUGCUUAGGAAUCUGCCUAUUAGUGGGGGACAACAUUCCGAAAGGAAUGCUAAUACCGCAUACGCCCUACGGGGGAAAGCAGGGGAUCUUUGGACCUUGCGCUAAUAGAUGAGCCUAAGUCGGAUUAGCUAGUUGGUGGGGUAAAGGCCUACCAAGGCGACGAUCUGUAGCGGGUCUGAGAGGCGGAUCCGCCACACUGGGGCUGAGACACGGCCCAGACUCCUACGGGGGGCAGCAGUGGGGAAUAUUGGACAAUGGGAGGAAGCCUGAUCCAGCCAUGCCGCGUGUGUGAAGAAGGCCUUUUGGUUGUAAAGCACUUUAAGCGAGGAGGAGGCUACCUGGAUUAAUACUCUAGGAUAGUGGACGUUACUCGCAGAAUAUGCACCGGCUAACUCUGUGCCAGCAGCCGCCGUAACAC